GACCGGGAUAACCCUGGGAAACUGGGGAUAAUACUGGAUAGGCAAUUUUUCCUGUAAUGGUUUUUUGUUUAAAUGUUUUUUCGCCUAAGGAUGGGUCUGCGGCCGAUUAGGUAGUUGGUUAGGUAAUGGCUUACCAAGCCGUUGAUCGGUACGGGUUGUGAGAGCAAGAGCCCGGAGAUGGAACCUGAGACAAGGUUCCAGGCCCUACGGGGUGCAGCAGGCGCGAAACCUCCGCAAUGUGAGAAAUCGCGACGGGGGGAUCCCAAGUGCCAUUCUUAACGGGAUGGCUUUUCAUUAGUGUAAAGAGCUUUUGGAAUAAGAGCUGGGCAAGACCGGUGCCAGCCGCCGCGGUAACACCGGCAGCUCUAGUGGUAGCAAUUUUUAUUGGGCCUAAAGCGUCCGUAGCCGGUUUAAUAAGUCUCUGGUGAAAUCCUGCAGCUUAACUGUGGGAAUUGCUGGAGAUACUAUUAGACUUGAGACCGGGAGAGGUUAGAGGUACUCCCAGGGUAGAGGUGAAAUUCUGUAAUCCUGGGAGGACCGCCUGUUGCGAAGGCGUCUAACUGGAACGGUUCUGACGGUGAGGGACGAAAGUUAGGGGCGCGAACCGGAUUAGAUACCCGGGUAGUCCUAACUGUAAACGAUGCGGACUUGGUGUUGGGGUGGCUUUGAGCUGCUUCAGUGCCGAAGGGAAGCUGUUAAGUCCGCCGCCUGGGAAGUACGGUCGCAAGACUGAAACUUAA
rnacentral:rRNA from 1 species